GAAGCUGACCAGACAGUCGCCGCUUCGUCGUCGUCCUUUCGGGGAGACGGGCGGAGGGGAGGAAAGUCCGGGCUCCAUAGGGCAGGGUGCCAGGUAACGCCUGGGGGGGGAAACCCACGACCAGUGCAACAGAGAGCAGACCGCCGAUGGCCCACGUAAGUGGGAUCAGGUAAGGGUGAAAGGGUGCGGUAAGAGCGCACCGCGCGGCUGGUAACAGUCCGUGGCACGGUAAACUCCACCCGGAGCAAGGCCAAAUAGGGGUUCAUAAGGUACGGCCCGUACUGAACCCGGGUAGGCUGCUUGAGCCAGUGAGCGAUUGCUGGCCUAGAUGAAUGACUGUCCACGACAGAACCCGGCUUAUCGGUCA
rnacentral:RNase_P_RNA from 1 species